GAUGAACGCUGGCGGCGUGCCUAAUACAUGCAAGUCGAGCGAACGGACGAGAAGCUUGCUUCUCUGAUGUUAGCGGCGGACGGGUGAGUAACACGUGGAUAACCUACCUAUAAGACUGGGAUAACUUCGGGAAACCGGAGCUAAUACCGGAUAAUAUUUUGAUCUGCAUGGCUCAAAAGUAAAAGACGGUCUUGCUGUCACUUAUAGAUGGAUCCGCGCUGCAUUAGCUAGUUGGUAAGGUAACGGCUUACCAAGGCAACGAUGCAUAGCCGACCUGAGAGGGUGAUCGGCCACACUGGAACUGAGACACGGUCCAGACUCCUACGGGAGGCAGCAGUAGGGAAUCUUCCGCAAUGGGCGAAAGCCUGGCGGAGCAACGCCGCGUGAGUGAUGAAGGUCUUCGGAUCGUAAAACUCUGUUAUUAGGGAAGAACAUAUGUGUAAGUAACUGUGCACAUCUUGACGGUACCUAAUCAGAAAGCCACGGCUAACUACGUGCCAGCAGCCGCGGUAAUACGUAGGUGGCAAGCGUUAUCCGGAAUUAUUGGGCGUAAAGCGCGCGUAGGCGGUUUUUUAAGUCUGAUGUGAAAGCCCACGGCUCAACCGUGGAGGGUCAUUGGAAACUGGAAAACUUGAGUGCAGAAGAGGAAAGUGGAAUUCCAUGUGUAGCGGUGAAAUGCGCAGAGAUAUGGAGGAACACCAGUGGCGAAGGCGACUUUCUGGUCUGUAACUGACGCUGAUGUGCGAAAGCGUGGGGAUCAAACAGGAUUAGAUACCCUGGUAGUCCACGCCGUAAACGAUGAGUGCUAAGUGUUAGGGGGUUUCCGCCCCUUAGUGCUGCAGCUAACGCAUUAAGCACUCCGCCUGGGGAGUACGACCGCAAGGUUGAAACUCAAAGGAAUUGACGGGGACCCGCACAAGCGGUGGAGCAUGUGGUUUAAUUCGAAGCAACGCGAAGAACCUUACCAAAUCUUGACAUCCUUUGACAACUCUAGAGAUAGAGCCUUCCCCUUCGGGGGACAAAGUGACAGGUGGUGCAUGGUUGUCGUCAGCUCGUGUCGUGAGAUGUUGGGUUAAGUCCCGCAACGAGCGCAACCCUUAAGCUUAGUUGCCAUCAUUAAGUUGGGCACUCUAAGUUGACUGCCGGUGACAAACCGGAGGAAGGUGGGGAUGACGUCAAAUCAUCAUGCCCCUUAUGAUUUGGGCUACACACGUGCUACAAUGGACAAUACAAAGGGCAGCGAAACCGCGAGGUCAAGCAAAUCCCAUAAAGUUGUUCUCAGUUCGGAUUGUAGUCUGCAACUCGACUACAUGAAGCUGGAAUCGCUAGUAAUCGUAGAUCAGCAUGCUACGGUGAAUACGUUCCCGGGUCU
rnacentral:rRNA from 1 species